UACGGAGGAUCCAAGCGUUGUCCGGAUUUAUUGGGUUUAAAGGGUGCGUAGGCGGACUUAUAAGUCAGAGGUGAAAGCCGGUAGCUUAACUAUCGAAUUGCCUUUGAAACUGUAAGUCUUGAAUUUUGUUGAGGUAGGCGGAAUGUAUCAUGUAGCGGUGAAAUGCAUAGAUAUGAUACAGAACACCGAUUGCGAAGGCAGCUUACUAAGCAAAUAUUGACGCUGAGGCACGAAAGCGUGGGGAUCAAACAGG
rnacentral:rRNA from 1 species